GCGUCGUCUUCAGAGUUUGAUCCUGGCUCAGGAUGAACGCUAGCGACAGGCCUAACACAUGCAAGUCGAGGGGCAGCGCGGGGAAAGCUUGCUUUUCCUGGCGGCGACCGGCGCACGGGUGCGUAACAGGUGUGCAAUCUGUCCAUAAUCGGGGAAUAGCCCAGCGAAAGUUGGAUUAAUGCUCCAUGUGAGUUUUCGAGGCAUCUCUUAAACUUGAAACGUAAGGAUUAUGGGUGAGCACGCUUCUGAUUAGCUAGUUGGUGGGGUAACGGCUCACCAAGGCGACGAUCAGUAGGGGUUCUGAGAGGAAGGUCCCCCACAUUGGAACUGAGACACGGUCCAA
rnacentral:rRNA from 1 species